rnacentral:misc_RNA from 1 species
CACCGCCGCCGCUGUCAGUUCGGCUGCCGAAGCAGACCCGACUCUCUUGGCAACUACGCACCAUCCUCCCUCAAACAUAGUAGGACGGGGAAGGGACACACUGGGGCACGAUGGCAGCCCUCACCUGGGAUACAACCGAGCGGCUUACCCUUAUGGAUUGCCGCCCAACUAUUCACCACCCGUCUUGCAAGAAGAUGCGGGCCACAUUGCCUCUCCCGUCCAUGAAAGAGUGCCUCCUCAGCAGCCCGACGAAGUCCAUAAAGACCCUCAAGAUUAUGCUCGAAGGGAUGUCGAGUUCUAUCCCCUGAUCCCCGAAGGGCCGGCACCAGGCACGUUGCCUCAACCCAACAUCACA